rnacentral:rRNA from 1 species
GACGAACCGUCCAAACGUUAUUCGGAAUCACUGGGCUUACAGAGUUCGUAGGCGGUCUGGAAAGUUGGGUGUGAAAUCCCUCGGCUCAACCGAGGAACUGCGCUUGAAACUACCAGACUCGAGGGAGAUAGAGGAAAGCGGAACUGAUGGUGGAGCGGUGAAAUGCGUUGAUAUCAUCAGGAACACCGGUGGCGAAGGCGGCUUCUGGGUCUUACCUG